GGAACUUAGUGACAGGUGGUGCAUNGCUGUCGUCAGCUCGUGUCGUGAGAUGUUGGGUUAAGUCCCGCAACGAGCGCAACCCCUAUUGUAUGUUGCUACCAUUAAGUUGAGCACUCAUGCGAUACNNCCUGCGAUGAGCAGGAGGAAGGUGGGGAUGACGUCAAGUCAUCAUGCCCCUUAUACGCUGGGCUACACACGUGCUACAAUGGGCAGUACAGAGAGUUGCCAACCCGCGAGGGUGAGCUAAUCUCUUAAAGCUGUUCUUAGUUCGGAUUGUACUCUGCAACUCGAGUACAUGAAGUUGGAAUCGCUAGUAAUCGCAAAUCAGCAUGUUGCGGUGAAUACGUUCUCGGGUCUUGUACACACCGCCCGUCACACCACGAGAGUUGGUUGCACCUGAAGUAGCAGGCCUAACCGUAAGGAGGGAUGUUCCUAAGGUGUGAUUAGCGAUUGGGGUG
rnacentral:rRNA from 1 species